ACCUCUGUGGUACAGUGGCUUAGUGCACGUUCCAAAUUAUCGUCUUAACCAGAGACAAUGCAAAGUGAGGAACGGGAUGUAGGGUUCGAUUCCCCACCGGAGGUU